AAGAAAAUGAUAACCAAUUUUUGUCAGGUUCAUUUUUUUCACCACCUUCUUUUGGCCGUCCCAUGUUUUGAGGCCAAAACCAUUUGCUUCAUUAUUAUAGCUGCAUUUUUUUUUGGAACCUUCAACUUGAACUUAGUAAUGACUCCUAUUGUUUUUAAUGGUGUUGUGGUUAUUUUUAAUAUUAUUUUGAUCCUGUAAAGAACAUUCUUGGAUGCUUUUCCCCUUCUUGUUUCAAGUGCUGUUACAUUGAAUUGUCCUUUUGGAUGCAAUUGAGCUGUGAAGUCACUUUAAUGAGUGGUCACUAUGAU
rnacentral:misc_RNA from 1 species